rnacentral:rRNA from 1 species
GGAAUAAGUAGCGAGAAUUAUGUGAGAAUCAUAAUGGCCGAAAAUCUAAGGUUUCUUGGGGAAGGUUCGUCCGCCCAAGGUAAGUCGGGAGCUAAGCUCAGGCCGAGAGGCGUAGGCGAUGCACAUACGGUAGAAAUUCCGUAACCACCGAACUUUAAGCUAGAGGGACGCUUUCUUUAAGGUUAUCCCGGGCGAUGGUUGCCCCGGGCGUAAGGGACCGAAAUAUAGUAGGGAAGUAACUGGCGAGAGAGACGAGAAAAGCUCUAGUGUAUACUAAGGUGCCCGUACCGCAAACCGACACAGGUAGAUGGGAUGAGUAUUCUAAGGCCAACGGGAGAAGGGUUGUUAAGGAACUCGGCAAAUUGGCCCCGUAACUUCGGGAUAAGGGGCGCCUGCGAGAGCAGGCCGCAGUGAAAAGGCCCAAGCGACUGUUUAGCAAAAACACAGCUCUCUGCUAAAUCGAAAGAUGACGUAUAGGGGGUGACGCCUGCCCGGUGCUGGAAGGUUAAGGGGAGUGCUUAGCGCAAGCGAAGGUGCGAACUUAAGCCCCAGUAAACGGCGGCCGUAACUAUAACGGUCCUAAGGUAGCGAAAUUCCUUGUCAGGUAAGUUCUGACCCGCACGAAUGGCGUAACGAUUUGGGCACUGUCUCAACAGCCCGCCCGGCGAAAUUGUAGUACCGGUGAAGAUGCCGGUUUCCCGCAACUAGACGGAAAGACCCCAUGGAGCUUCACUGUAGCUUGAUAUUGGAUCUCGGUAUUCCAUGUACAGGAUAGGUGGGAGGCUAGGAAGUGAGCGCGCCAGCGUUCGUGGAGCCAACCUUGGGAUACCACUCUUGGGAUAUUGGGAUUCUAACCUGCGACCAUGAAUCUGGUCGGGGGACACUGUCAGGUGGGCAGUUUGACUGGGGCGGUCGCCUCCAAAAGAGUAACGGAGGCGCUCAAAGGUUCGUUCAGCACGGAUGGAAAUCGUGCACUGAGUGUAAACGCAUAAACGAGCCUAACUGCGAGAAUGACGGUUCGAGCAGUAACGAAAGUUGGAGUUAGUGAUCCGGCGGUAUGUGAAUGGAAAUGCCGUCGCUCAACGGAUAAAAGCUACCCUGGGGAUAACAGGCUGAUCUCCCCCAAGAGUCCACAUCGACGGGGAGGUUUGGCACCUCGAUGUCGGCUCAUCGCAUCCUGGGGCUGAAUUCGGUCCCAAGGGUUUGGCUGUUCGCCAAUUAAAGCGGUACGCGAGCUGGGUUCAGAACGUCGUGAGACAGUUCGGUCCCUAUCUGUUGCGGGCGCAGGAAUAUUGAGAGGAGCUGUCCUUAGUACGAGAGGACCGGGAUGGACGUACCGCUGGUGCACCAGUUGUUCUGCCAAGGGCAUAGCUGGGUAGCUAAGUACGGACGAGAUAAACGCUGAAGGCAUCUAAGCGUGAAACUCCCCUCGAGAUAAGUGUUCCCAUCCUUCGGGAGUAAGGCCCCUUGUAGACUACAAGGUUGAUAGGUCAGGAGUGGAAGUGCAGUAAUGUAUGGAGCGGACUGAUACUAAUAGGCCGAGGGCUUGACCUU